rnacentral:rRNA from 1 species
UGGGGAAUUUUGCACAAUGGGGGAAACCCUGAUGCAGCGACGACGCGUGAUUUAGAAGGCCUUCGGGUUGUAAAAAUCUUUUCUAUGGGAAGAAAAUGACAGUACCAUAGGAAUAAGGACCGGCUAAUUACGUGCCAGCAGCCGCGGUAAUACGUAAGGUCCGAGCGUUGUCCGGAAUCAUUGGGCGUAAAGGGUACGUAGGCGGGUAAGCAAGUUAGAAGUGAAAUCCUAUAGCUCAACUAUAGUAAGCUUUUAAAACUGCUCAUCUUGAGGUAUGGAAGGGAAAGUGGAAUUCCUAGUGUAGCGGUGAAAUGCGCAGAUAUUAGGAGGAAUACCGGUGGCGAAAGCGACUUUCUGGCCAUAACCUGACGCUGAGGUACGAAAGCGUGGGUAGCAAACAGG